rnacentral:lncRNA from 1 species
UUACAGAAGCCGUUGGACUUCAGUGGACAUGUUUAUCAUACCAUGAGGGAGGAUUGGGAUCUUGUUAAGAGGGUGAUCAAUCACUCAAAUAUUAGAUGUGCUAUAAGUAACUUCAAGCCCUUCAAGUCUGCUAGGCCAGAUGGUAUUUUGCCAAUGUUAUUACAACAGAGCAUUGAUCUUUUGGCCUCUCUUUGGCUGUAUUUCAUGGUCUUGGAGGCCAGUAAGAGUUUAUAUCUAAACCUGACAUAGUUCUUAUACCAAGGCUAAGUUCUAUUGUCCAAUCAUCUUGAAAUUUUUCUUAUUAAAGACAGUGAAAAGAUUGGUGAGUAGAUUUAUUAGAGAUGAGACUUCAAUAAAUCUACUUGCCAAUCUUUCAAUUUGGCAAAUUGACUGAAAAUGCUCUCCAUGAAAUUGUUAUGCAUUGAAAAAGC